rnacentral:rRNA from 1 species
GACGAACGCUGGCGGCGUGCUUAACACAUGCAAGUCGAGCGAUGAAAGCCUUAUGAACUAUUCGUAGUGAUUGGGCCCGGAUUAGCGGCGGACGGGUGAGUAACGCGUGCGCAACCUGCCUUAAACAACGGGAUAGCCUCGGGAAACCGGGAUUAAUACCGUAUGAGACCCCGCCUUCACAUGCAGAAGAGGUUAAAGAUUUAUCGGUUUAAGAUGGGCUCGCGUCUGAUCAGCUAGUUGGUGAGAUAAAAGCCCACCAAGGCAACGAUCAGUAACCGGCUUGAGAGAGUGAACGGUCACAUUGGAACUGAGACACGGUCCAAACUCCUACGGGAGGCAGCAGUGGGGAAUAUUGCACAAUGGGGGAAACCCUGAUGCAGCGACGCCGCGUGAGCGAUGAAGGAAUUCGUUUCGUAAAGCUCUGUCCAAGGGGAAGAUAAUGACAGUACCCUUGGAGGAAGCCCCGGCUAAAUACGUGCCAGCAGCCGCAGUAA